UGAGCAGUAGCUCAGUGGUAGAGCUCCGCUUUGUAUGCGGGGAGACCUGGGAGACCUAGGUUCGAUUCCCGGCUGCAUUC
rnacentral:tRNA from 1 species